ACGAUAUUCCGCUGUGAGAAAAGCUCAUAAGAAUAUUUG
rfam:Enterococcus faecium DO, complete genome.